GCCCCAGUAGCAUUAAAGGUAAUGCAACGGCCUGUCAAGCCGUGUCUGGUCUACAGACUUCCUGGUUCGAAUCCCGGCUGGGGCG
rnacentral:tRNA from 1 species